UACAGGGGGGGCAAGCGUUGUUCGGAAUUACUGGGCGUAAAGGGCUCGUAGGUGGCCAACUAAGUCGGACGUGAAAUCCCUCAGCUUAACUGGGGAACUGCAUCCGAUACUGGAUGGCUUGAGUUUGGGAGAGGGAUGCGGAAUUCCAGGUGUAGCGGUGAAAUGCGUAGAUAUCUGGAGGAACACCGGUGGCGAAGGCGGCAUCCUGGACCAACACUGACACUGAGGAGCGAAAGCCAGGGGAGCAAACGGG
rnacentral:rRNA from 2 species